rnacentral:rRNA from 1 species
UACGUAGGGGGCAAGCGUUGUCCGGAAUCAUUGGCGUAAAGCGCGUGUAGGCGGCCUUGUAAGUCCGUUCUGAAAGCCCGGGGCUCAACCCCGGGAGGCGGAUGGAUACUGCAUGGCUAGAGUACGGAAGAGGCGAGUGGAAUUCCUGGUGUAGCGGUGGAAUGCGCAGAUAUCAGGAGGAACACCAAUAGCGAAGGCAGCUCGCUGGGACGUUACUGACACUGAGGCGCGAAAGCGUGGGGAGCGAACAGG